UCAGUUUAGAUCGCUAAAGAAACCCUAACUUCAUCCCCUUAUAAAUACCUCGUCUUCGCCCACUUCGCUAAUCGACCCUUCCCUUCAUCUCUAUUCUCUUCAUUCCCCUACCCAUCGCUUUAUGCUUCCCCCAUUUCUUUCUUCAACUUCUUAACCAAAAGCAUCCACUAUGACUCCCUCUGCUUCUUUAUCCAUGGCAUCGGGAGUACGAAAAUAUGCGAAAUCGAUUUCAAAUCGGUACUACAUGGACAGGCAUUCCCGACAUAUCUACGGGUUUUGCCAUUUCUCGUUGGUUCCACAGAUUUCUUACUUCCAUAGCCCUUGCUGAACUGAUUUCUUGUUUCUCACUCUUUUUAUUUAGUUUGGUUUUAUGAAACCCAUCUGCUCGAUGAUGAUUGUUUUUGCUUUAACCACACCGAAGCGAGCUGAGGCUGUGUCCUGAUCCUCAUUCAUUUAAGCUUUUGAGGUGAUUUCCUUCUUAUUAUUGGUUUUCGCCUGACGACUCUUACUUCUAUGAUUAGAGGAAUUUUUCUUUUUUUAAUUUCCUCUUCUUUUAGAGAGAAGACGAAGGGAAUUCCAAUUGUUUGAAGUGAUUAAUUUCUGGGCUUAAACGUUUUAGGAUUCACCAGCUUCGAGUUUUCGCAUGUGGAAAACCUUGGCCUUUUUCUGAGAGCAAUUGUUGGUUUUUAAAAUAUUUCAGUUUGUCAUUGAUUGUAUUUUCUGAUGCUUUUGCUUUUGAAUAUCAAUGAUUCAAAUUGCUUCUGUUUGUUUGAAAAUUUCCAUUUAUUUUCUCGGUAAAUAAUUUGUCUCACAAUUUGCAACACAUAAUAUCUUCCUUUGAAAGUGUUUAUUGAUCGGAUUUGAUAGGUAAUGAUAUUAAAUCUUUUCACGUUUAGUUGGGAUAUGAUUUCAACUGGUUAGAAUUGUUUUUGAAUCCAUUGUAUUUUUAAAACCAUUCUAAAACAUUAUCUCAAAUUGAAUGAUUUCAACCUUAGUGAUGAUUGAUUUUUAUAUAAUCAUACUUAUGUUUAUUACUAUUAUUAAUUUUUUAUGUUCUUAGAUUUUGAGAACUAACAUUCUGUCUGUGCUCUGAGAAAUGAAUACUUGGGUGGUUGCUUUGAUUGAAAUUAUGCCUUUGUAUUUCGGCUGUUGAGUCUCUGAAUUUUCAAGAUGCAAUGCUGCAGCCAUCAUCAUACAAUCUCAACCAGGGAAUUAUAUAUUUAGAAGAUUAGAUCAACAAACUGGUUGGUUCAAAGGAACACAAACUUCAAUUCAAUUGAAGUAACAGCAAUGGUUAAUGAAAGUCGGACCACUGUGAUAAAAGAAAAAUAAUUAAAAUCUUUCAAAAUAUUAACUCUUCCAGAAAUAACAAUUUAUUAGAAUCUAUUACUAAAAUUAGUCUUUGAACAUUGUUAAUAUUAACAAAAUCCAUAACAAAUAGAUAUGAAAUUAAAAGUUAAGUCUAUAUAUGUUUAAAUCUUACUUUUGUAUUUCUUAAAGAAAUGAUUUUUUCAACUAUGAUUAUUAGACUUUAUAUUUUUAUUGACAGAUGCUGUAAUAUAUAUUUUUUCUUCUAAUAUUUGCAACCAUCUCAAUUAACUCUUCCCUAUUUAUAAUUCUCUCAACUCCAUGCAUAAAUAUAAUAUUUGUAACUCUAUAAUAAAUGUAUUUAUUUUAGUAAGGAGUAUAAAAAAAUAAGCAAGAUAGAUGUAAAAAACGUUGUUAAAUACAUUGUAUAUUGUGACCUGUGAAAUCUAUUGUAUUGUAUUGGUUAGAACAUUAUCAAAUAAACAAUUGAAUUCAUCGUCUUUUUCUCAAAGGAAAAUGGAUAAGAAAUAUUUGUUAAACUAAAAGAGGCAUGUUUGAAAAAUUCAAAGUUAAAAACAGUUAUAAUAUUUUAUAGCUAAGAUUUUUCUUUGAUAUUAGAAAAUAAAUUGAAAAAAAGACUUCUGGAUUAGCAUGAAAUAAGGCGAUGAAAUUGCUUUAAGAAAUCAUUAAAAAAAAAAAAUGCAAACAAUAUUUUGGAGAAUAAUAUAAAAUAUUGCACUAAAAAACUUUUGUAUAAAUUUAAUUUUUUAAAAUUUUGUUUCUCUAUUUGGUUUUUUUAAUGCUGUCACAAAAUAAUGGAAGAUAUGAAAAGAGUUUUUUUAAAGAAUUGUUGCAAAAAUAAAAGAGCUUUUUUCAAGAUUGUUUGGAAGAUAUGGCUGGACGAUAGUUUGGUAGAUAUGGCUAGACGAUGGGAAAGAAAAAUAAUGGAAAGGAAAAGAAAAAGUGGAAAGAAAAGGUAAAAUUUAUGGGAAAAAUUGCACAAGAAAUAAUGAAAAAAAUAUAGUGACAUUUAUGGAUGUGUAACCAAAUAUAGUGACAUUUUCUUUCUUUUCUUUUAUUUUUUUUUGAAAUUAUGAUUUUUGUUUUCAAUUAGUAUUAUUUUUUUAAAGUAUUAUUUGGUUCGAUCGUGUACAAAAUAUAAAAGAUCGUUGAGAUAUUGUUGUUAUAUAUUUAGAUUGCCGAAUAUUGAACAAAUAUAAACUAUCUUGAACAAAAAUCUAAACUAUCAAAUAUAAAAAGAUCUUGAACAAAAAUCUAAACUAUCAAAUAUAAAAGAUCUUGAACAAAAAUCAUUGGAUAUUGGUACAUGAUCUAUAUUUAUAUUUGAUACAUGAUCUUGAAAAAAACCAUUGGAAUAUUGAUACACACGAUAGUUCAAAUUUUGGUACAUGAUCACAUACCAAAGUUAAUAUUUGAUAGUUGCGUGUUGACCAGAACAUUUUUGGUAUUUUUAACGAUCAUAUUAGAUUUCUUAUAGGAUUUGAAUAUGUUAAUAAAUUGAAAGAGAUCGAUUAAGUAAAUAAAACACACAUGCACAAAAAGUAAUGAAAUGAAAUUCAAGAUGCAACAAGAAGCGAUGCAAAGUUACAACCUACGACAAAGAGCAUAAAGAUAUUGUAAAAGAAGAAUUGGCAGAUUGACUAGAGCUCGUAAUAUGCUCUCCAAAGUAGCUCAUCCUAUACCUACUAACAAUUGUAUUUUACUUCCAACCUAGGGUUAGCUACUGGUAACCUCAACUAAGAAUUAAAGAGAGAAUACACAACCUACUUACUUUCAUGCUUGAGGCUCACAAAACCCGAGAAAGUAUUGUACAAGUAGAGUAGUACAUGCCUAUGUAGGAAGAAGAUUUUAUCAAAUUUUAAAUUUUGAUUGAGUAUAGGCGUCAACAAAUGGGUAGAAAAUUGAAAUUAUACUUCGCACAUGAUAAAAGCCAAUUUUGUCACAAGAAAACUCUUUAUUUCCUAACUGCUACAUAGUUACUCAUACAUUAGAGUAUGAACAUAAUAGUUACUCAACUUACAAAGAGAGGUACGAUUGACCUGAAACUAGUGGAAAAAGAGUAUACACAAGCUAAGCUAAAAUACACUCUUUGACAAGGAUAAGGAAAUAGAAAGGUAACUUCUCUCGAAAGUUUGAUUGAUACAUGUACAUCUACUAAUUGAAGAAAAGGUGAUGGAGCCGUCAACAUAAGAUCAUGGGUUAAAAGUGAGGCAAGUGAGAUAAAGCAAUUGGCGUAGGCACAUACGAGUAGUAUGGGUCAUUCAUUAUGAUGGUAAAGCAAAUGAUUCUUUGUUUUAAGAUCUUAAUCUUGUUAUUCACACUAAUCUCCGUACUUAUUGAUCGUUAUGCUAUUUUCUUCUUUUUAGGAAGAAAAAUUACUUAUCUUAUCUUAUCUUUAUUUUUUUUCUCUAUUGUAUCUAUACUUUUAGUGAGAAGGGCCCUUACUCCGUCCUACACGGUAUACUACUAUCGAACCCUACCAGACAACCUAUUAGCCACAAUGGAAUCAUACCAUCAACGUCAAAUUGAACGGAAAAUUCAAAAGUUAUAUUAGCCACAAUGUAUUAAGUUGGAAUCUUCUUAUCCUUAGAGCAUGCAAGUAACCUAUGUAAAUACCGAGGAAAAAGCUCUAUCUCAAGGACUUGGAUCGUAACCUUUAAAGAGUUGGACAUCACACACCCCUCUCCCUCUAGUUGAGCUUCUUCUCCCCUUUGCUUAUUUUCACAGGUGCACAUGUCCCGAUCUUGACUCUAAAAGAAAGGAUAGAAAUAGUAAAACCGAUAGAGAGAAAAAUUUGACGAGGUUCAAACUUCCAUCUUUAGAGUCAAAAGUGACUAAAAACCAUCUAGUAGAGCUCUCAAAGACAUCUCGUACCCUCUAAGUUUCAUCACCCUUCAAUCUUUCCAUCCCAAGCAAAGCAUGAUUUUCUUCUUUAGCAUAUUUUUGUUUACAAUUUUCUUCAAUUUUCAACUUAUACACAUUUUUAUUGUAUAACUAUCUUAUAUUAUUUAGUUAUUUAGUUUUUAUAACUAAUACUCUUUAAUUUAAGACAUUACUUAUGUUAAUGGAGAUAUCAAAAUAUAAAAUGAUGUACACUGUGGAAAUACUAAGAAAGAUGUGACAAAAAUAUUUGUGAAAAUAAGUUAAGCAAUAACAAAGAUAUAUUGAGAAACUUGCACAGUGGCAAUGAGUUUCCAUUAUUAAAUAUAGAUCAAUAUGGAUAAACAUAUGCUCUCUUGUAUCAUAGUAAUCUUCUUCUGCAGUAUUGAGAAAGAAGGAUAUUAAAUUAAUUAUCUAUCUAUCUUCAUCAAGCAAUACAUAGUAAAACAAUACCCCAUGUUUUGCUUAAAAAGAUGUAUAAAAAUAUAUAGUAGUUGCCGUAAUUAAUAUUAAAAUUGCAAACCAUUAUAUUUGAUUAUGGUCCACCAACCUCUGAAGCACACUCUGAUGUCCACUAACCAUGGAAGUAUUAACUGCCACAAAGCCAUGGAGAAAAAGUAAAUUUUAAUAGUAUGAAGUUUGUUUUUAAAAUUAUAAAAUUAACAUUCAAUUGAAAUUGAUUUAAUACCUACUGAGAAUUACUUUUAUUCACUUUAGAUAAAAGAAAAAAAUAAUAAUUGGUAAAAGAUUUGAAGGAUAGGAAUAUGAAAAAUAUAAAUCUACACAAAACAUUUACUAAAUGUGGCUAAUAUCUAUGAACCCACAUUCUACCAUUUAGUAAAAUUCAAAGAAUGGAGAGAUGCAAUGGAAGAUGAAAUCAAGCCAUGGAAAGAAAUAAAACUUGGAUAGUUGUAACACUACCAAAAAAUAGUCAGGCAAUGAGAAUCAAAUGGGUCUACAAGGUGAAAUAUACAGCUAAUGGAUGAGUUGAUCGAUACAAGACACGUCCAAUGGCAAAGGGAUACAAUCAACAAGAAGGUAUUGAUUUCUUUGAUACUUUCUCUCCAGUAGCUAAAUUUGUCAUUGUUAAGGUCCUUACAUUAGCCAUCACUUACAACUGGCCUUUGACACAAAUGGAUAUCAACAAUGCAUUUUUGAAUGGAUAUUUGUUUGAAGAAGUCCAUAUGAAACUACCAUUGGAUUAUAAGACAAAUCAAGUACCAAAAGAAGGAGAAAAACUUGAAUGCAAGCUAAAUAAAUAAAUAUAUGGUUUAAAGAAAGCAUUCAGACAAUGGUUUAUAAUAUUUUCCUCAACUGUUAGCACGUGACUUUAUUCAAUCAAAAUCAUAUUAUUCAUUGUUUACAAAAGUGCACGAUGAAACUUUUGUGGCACUUCUAGUAUAUGUUGAUGAUAUAAUAUUGACAAGUCUUUAUUCGAUAGAAACGCAAAUAGUAAUAUAGACAUACUCAAGAUCCAAAUACUUCUUAGAGUUUAGAACUAUCUUUUUUUCCAACCAAGAACUUCUGCUAUCUCAGUGCAAAUAUUGUCUCCAAAUCCUUGAAGAUGUAGGCUAUCCCAAUGCCAAACCAACUUCAUUACCCAUAAAUCCGAAUCUAAAACUUUCGAAGGACAAUAGAAGAUCUCUAUCUUAAAGAAGAAAGCAUAUGCUAUAGAAGAUUAAUAGGUAGGUUAUUAUAUCUACAAAUCUCAAGAUCAUACAUUUACUUUCUACACAAGCUAAGUCGAUUCUCGUAGAAUCCUACCCAAACACAUUUAAUUGUUGCACACCAUCUAUUGAGAUACUUGAAACAGUCACCUAGACAAAGCAAACAAGUCACUUGUUUCCACCUUCAAGCAUUUGUUAAUGUUUAUUGGAGAGCAUGAUUGGACAUUAGAUUUUCUGUUUUUGGCUUUUGCAUCUUUUUAGACAAUUUCUUGAUAUUAUGGAAAUUCAAAAAGCAACCAACUGUCUCCAAGUCUUCAGAUAAAGACUAGUAUAGAGCAUCAACUAAAGGUAACCCAGGGGUAAAACAAAAUAUUUACGAACAAAAUUUCAAAUUCUAUCCAAAAAGCUACAAUUUCUUGAUAUUAGAGGAGCACUUGUAUUUAAUGACUAGAGGUAACCCGGGGGUAAAAUAAUAAUUUGAUCUAACUGGUGUUACGAACACUCGUGAAUGACUAACUUAUUGUUAUUGGUCUAUAUCUAUAUUCCGUGGACACAAAAAUAUAUCUACAGUGAGAAGAGUUAAGUUGUGAGUCUUUAGUGGAGUGUACACACAAUUAACGAAUAUUGAUUAACGUGGUUAAUGAGUUUAGCCAAUUAACCUCAUAUUAUUGUAGCUUCUGUUCUGUAGGUUCAUUAGGUCCCCUUCCUAACUCGUAAAUGGUAAUGAGAUUUAUUUAUAUUGGUUGUAAUUUAAAAUAUUUAAAUUUACUUUGGGAAUUAGUAUAAUGUAUUAUGAUACAUUAUAAUAUAAAAUUUAUAUAUUUUUAUCAAAAUUUAUUAUAUAAAUUUAAUUUUGGAUAUGAUUCAAAAUUAAUUUAUUAAAGAUGAAAUAUUUGAAUGAGUUCAAAUAUUAAUUUAAUAUGAAUUGGAUUCAUAUUAAAAUUAUUGGUUAUGAGAGAAAUUUAUAUUUGAAUAUGAUUCAAAUUUAAUUUAAGUUAAAUAUAAGAUAUUUAAUUUAGCUAUUAAUUUGUCGGAUAAUUAAUUAAUAGUUUAAUUUAAUUUAAUUAAUUUAAAACUACAACAUAUUAGAGAUAUAUUAAUUAAAUAUGGGAAAUAUUAAUUAAUUAUUAAUUAUUAAUUAAUUAGUUGAUAUUAAAUUUGUACUAAUUUAAUAAUUUUUAAAUUAAUAGAAUCUGAUUAUUCUCUUCUAUUUGACAAAGGAAAGAGAGUUAUAAAUAUGCAAAAGAAAAACGAUUUUUCUUAAUCAAUAAGAACUAAUAAUUUUUCUUUUAUGCAAAAUCAUUUUCUCUUUACACUUUUUUCCAUUCCAAUUGGUUUUCCACAAACUAAUCUCAUCCUAGAGGAUAGGAUGGUCUUCAAUAAGUGGUGUUCUUAAGUCGGUGGAUUGUAGAUUCAGAGACGUCAACAAGGGUAAGUUCUCUAUAUCUUUUUAUUUAAAAAUAUGUUUAGUUUUUUAUUUAGAAUUUUAGUUCUAAAUAUUGCCAAUGUACCCAAAUAAAAUAUGAGGAAUGGUUCCGUAAAAUCUUUCGUUGUCAAGGACUUUUAUCCAUUCAAUGACAUGGUUCUUCGUCGAGAAAUUGUACUCACUAAAUGGGGUUUCAAUUGCAUAAUGCUUGUGCGAGUACUUCUGCAAUUCACUAGUUCCUUCCUUCUUUUAUUAAUUCCAUGUUGAGACACUGAAAACAGAGUAAAAACAAGCAUGAGUAUUUAUGUAAAGUAUAUUUUCAAGUAUUUAUGCAAUUUCAAUACAAACUACGAAUUUUGAUAUACUUGUUCAUAAUUUUAGCCCCAUUAUUCUAAUAAAAGAUGUUGCAAUAACGUGUAGAUCAAAUAUCACAUAUAUGAGACAUUCUAUUCUAAAUCACACAACAAGAAUAGAAUAUCUUAUCUAAGAUCACACAGCCAAUGAUAAGACAUCUCACACUAGAACACACAACAAGUGUGAGACAUUUGAUCGCAUAAGAUACACAAGAUCAUCUCAUGUCAUUAUUUCAGUUCAUAUUAAACUUCAUUCACAUUUUAAAAAAUGAGAAGACAUAAGAGAAGUCAUGUAACUCAGAGUUUCCAUAUAAAUACAUUUAAGGAUUUAAACAUAUUAAAAAUCAUUUUAUUUAUGAAAACAUUUUUAGGAAGAACCAUUCACAAUCAGCUAGCUUCUUCACCUAGCUUCUUAGUUGAGAACUUCCUUGUUGGAUCCAAGCUCGUGAUGAAUCUCUCAAAAUCUUGAAAUUCUCUUAAUUCUUUCUUAAGUGAAUACAAGAUAAAAGCAUGCAACUUCAAAACGGUCGUAAUUCAUCUAUUUAUAAGUCUCUCUGAUGAAACUUUUCAUGUAAAAAUGAUUACUUCUGUCCAACGGUGAGAAUCGACCAAUGUUAGAACACCACAUGUCAUUGUCAUUUUCUUGAUUUGGAUUGGGUGACAAAGUCAAAUCAAUUGGCAACCUUCUUACACGAGGAUGACAUCACUACUUCUGGGUAAAGGAAGCUCAAAUUGCAUGAAAGUUCAUCACAUAGCCUUCUCAUCACAUUACUUAAAACAGAAGACGCAAUUUACCAUGCAAUCUCUUCAAUCACUAACCUUUUUCAUGCGGCGAUCUCAUCGCAUAGGCCAUUAUUGUCGCAUAAAAUCUUAUCGUGUAAGGCAAAACAUGAUCAGGACAUUACAAAUUAUUUUAGUUUGGAUUAUAAUAGUAUGCAUUUGAGUUUUAAACUAUUUUAGUUUGAAAAGAAAAUAGUAAACACUAUAGCAAAUAAAUAAAUAAAUGAUGAAUGUAAAAUAGUAAAUUAUUGUAAACCAAAAGUCUAACUUUUUACCAAAAUGAUUACUCUCUCAAAUGUGGGGAGAAAUGUUGUAUUCAUAGAUAAAUAUGAAUACAAGGUUUAAACUACCCUUCUAACUUUCCUAUUUAAAAAACAACUCUCACCCUCUCAAAUAAUACAUAAAUACUCAAACAAUUGAAAGAUUUUAAAAUAGUGUUUCUUGUACCAACUGAAAUUUUUUAAAUAUUAUUUAUUUAUAUCAAUAUGUGGUUAUUAUAUAGUUGUUGAUCCAAACCUCACUUUAAAAUAAGUCAAAUGCAUAUAUUACUCUAAACUCAUUUUCCCAAAAAAUUCAAAUAUAAAUUUAAAAUGUGGAUUUGUUAAAUAAAAAUCAAAACGAAUAACUAAACCCUAAGGGAAUGUUUUGAGAAGGGUUGAGUUAUAUGUUUGAGGGAAGAGUUAUCAUAACUAGUUUUACCCUCCAACCUCCGUGUUCAACCCUUCCUCAACUCAUUGACAACCUUUCAUAAUUCCAUUUUUUAAAAUUACUAAUAUACCCUUCUUCUCCCUCUUCUUUAUCAGGGGAUGUGUUUUUUAGAAUUUUUUUUCGUAUUUAGAUCUUUUAGAUAUUCCCACCGUCAGUCAUCUUUUUAAAUAAAUAUAAGUUUAAAUACUAUUUAAUCCAUUUUUUUCAUUUAUAAUUUCUUUGUUUAUGAGUUUCGUUAAUUUUAAUCCUUUUAUUUUAAAAACACAACUUAUUUUUAACGUGUGAAUUUGGUACAACUACAUCAUUAAAAUUUUUAUUUCUUCCUUUACUCUUAAAUUAUGUAAUUUAUUGUGAUUAUACUCAAAAUUUUAAUUUAAUAACCUUCAAUCAACUCAAUGUCAUUAUAUUUUGUUAAUUAGCUUGAAUAUCCAAGGAAUGUCAAUUCAAUUAGAAAAUGGUAAAUUUUUAACAAACUACCACAAAUUGAUUAAAACAGGUAGCAAACUAUAAGAACUAUUUGAUUAAAUUAAAAAUUAGUUGGGCUCUAAUUUGAACAAACCUAUUAUUUAAAGAUGGUUUGUCUAUAUUUUUUCACUUUCAUAAUGUUAUUUUGGUUACUAACAUAAGUUUGAUUAAAUUAACAUAACAAAUCUUUUGUUAUAGAGAGGGAAGGUUCAUGAAUUUUUUACACAAUAAUUAUGCCAUAACGACUAAAAUAAAUAAUUUGAAAGUAUAUAAAUCACGGUUAAAAAAAUAAAAAUUAAAGUUAAUAUUUAAAAGUAGACUAAAAUAAACAGAAGAGAAACUUAAAACUAGAUUCAAUAUAAUUUUCUACUAGAAAACAAAACUAGAAUUGGUAAAAGCCUUUGAUUGUUAUUUUAUGUUUUCGUUACUUCACAUUUCCAAUAGUUAUUUGCACUUAUUUACAUAUUUACAGGUUGCGUGCCAUAUUCAUGAAAACCAAUUAAUUGAAAAAUGUAACGUAGACUUAAAAAGUAUUGAAAAUGAACGCGUAGUUAUAUAAAUUAAAACAAAUUGUUUUACGAAAUCUACGAUGAUUUGAUAAAUUAAGUAUACAAAAUUUGUAUACUGGAUUUAUAAUAUGAUUUUUUUAAAAAAAUAAGUUUCAUAACACUACGUACGUAAUCAUUUUUCAAACACAUCUUUAUCAUAAUAUCUCGUUAAUGGAACGUUUAAAUGGUGUAUAGAAAUGGUUGAAAAUCAUGAAGUUGGAAAUAGAGGAUAAGAGUAAACAAAAUCCUAACUGGAAAACUAAAACACAAUAAAUUUAGAGCAUUUCAUUUCACUUCACUGUUUCCUCUCUCUGCUCACAGAAAUAACUAAAACGCAAAAAAAUAAGAAAAAAAGAAAAAAGGGAAAAAGUUGCGAGCGUAUCUGAGAAGUUACUUUCGCGCCUCGUAUCAAAGAGACCACACCUUUUGGUUUUAAAUUUCUUCAUAGUUCUGAACUACAAGCGGUGUAGACGAAUUGGAAGACACAGAGUGAGAAUGCGAGGCCGAAAACAGUCGCAACGACCCAAAAAAUCUUCUGGUAGCUUUUUAUUACUUCACCUUUCUUCAUUCUGCUGUUUAUGAUUACAGAAAUUGAUCAUCCUCCUCUAAUUGUACUUCUUCUUUAUACUUCAACUCAUAGCUCCAUCUGAUAGGAUCAUACACACAUGUACAUGGAUUUCCCUUGUGUUUUUUCCGCUUCAUUUCCUAUGCAAUUGUUGCAGGAAAAUGAUCCUACUCUCGGUAUUUUCUGAUUUGUGUUUUGGGACCCCUUUUAAGCAUUUUUCCGUUUCAAUGAGAGGAAAAUAGAGUAGUACUGUUUUCCUUUUGCCUUUUCAUAUAACAAAAUUACAAGGGAGAAGGGGGUACUGUUUGUCGUAAAGUAAACUCGCUACCAACAAAUGCCAAAGAGGAGAUUGUAACAAGUUACUCCAAUACAAGGUCAUCCUCCUCAACAAUCUUUGUAGAUAUUUUAUCAUACUAUAUCUCGGAAGUAGUGGGACAAAAAGUAUUGUCGGUAUUAAUCAAUAGGGCUCGAGAUUUCCCCUGACAGUUGUCCUGGAAUGAGUUGGAUUUAGUAGGUGCGUUCAAGUUUUGAAUUUGGUCAUCAAUCAUUGAUUGUGGGGUUCUCGUGGUGUUCUGUUAGUCCCUAAAAUUUUUAAAACUUCAAUUACGUUGUUGAACUUUUUAAUUGUGAUUCUUUGUCGUACAAUACAAGAUUCUCCUCAAUAAAGUUGUUGGACUAAACGCCCAUAAGAAAGAAUAUAUAACAUAUGUAGAACAGAAGUAGAUUAUUUAAACGAAGUAGAGGGACUGUGAAAGAAGAAUAAUUUGAAAUUCCUAGGAUUAAGUGAUGUUAGAAAGUGGCUUCCAACCCUUUUGAAUUGAAAUAUUUAUUCUAUCUUAAGAGCUUCGUUAUACCUCUCCUUUCAUAUGCACCAAAACAAUCUUGAAAGGCCUUUUCCAUUACAUCUAGUAUAGGAAUAAUAUAACACCAAACUGAUCAACGCUUGCAGACAUAUAAACGAUAUACACUAGUGAGAAAUGUGAUCUAGGUAAUCUUUUUGAGAUGUCAUCGGUCAAGAAUCAAGAGUUUCCUAUAAUGAAGAAAAACUUGGAGGCUUGUUUUGGACAUUGUUUUCAGAAUGGCUUUAUAUUUUUGUUUUCAAGAUUUUAUGAUUUGAUGACUUCACUAGUUAAUAUUAUGGUGCGCAUUGAAACUUCUCUUCAUAAACUUUUGACUUUGAAACAAACAACAAAGAAACUAUAUGUUAAAUUACAUAAAGAAAAAAAGCUACUUAUCCAAACUUGUUUUAACUAAUCUUUGAUUUGUAUUACCCAAUUGAAACUUGAAAUUGGACUCAAAAUGCUCUUGAGGGCCUGAUAUUUUUUCCUCUUGUACCUCAUCAAACACAAUUGCGAUUUUUUUCUUCGAUUUUUUUCUUUUGUUCAAAUUCUUCCUCCAGUUCUUCCUCAACCUCCUUGGUCAACUCUUGCUUCUUCCUCUCUCGCUCUUUGGUCUCACUCUCACUUCUUCCUCUAGCUCAUUGAUUCGGGAAAAAAUUGCAGAAUGAAGAAAGAAGAGUAAAAAAAUUACAGAAGAAGAAGGGAGGGAAGAGAUUGCAAGGGAAGGGAAACAAUUGUGCAAGAAAGAAAAAAUGUACAGAGCUUGAAGGAAGAAGUGGAAGGAAGAAGUGGAAGGAAGACGAACCAGUAAAACAAAAAAAAAAAUAAAUGGUGAGAGAUUUUUGUACGAGGAGCAAGCAAGGAAAAAAGUUGCAGUGUGUGAUUAGAUUUUUUUUAAGAAAAAAACAGCAAAACAAAGUAGGAAGAAGUGCAUUUGGAGUUAAAGUGGUAAUUUCUCAUGGUGUUGACAUAAGCAUAGGGCCAAAAUUCAUUGGUUUCAACCUUGUGGUUAGUUUUGAUUUGGGCUCCUAUAAGGGGGCCUCUGUUCAAUUUUCCUGAAGUAUCUCUUGCGAAACAACUGUACCAGAUGAGAGGCCAGGAAAGUAUAUUACCAAAUGGUAAGACAAAUUCUUGUAAACCGUCCUGAUGAUGGUCUCCUAUGCCAGACAAAUUCUUGUAAAUGAGAACUCCUGUUAUUGUGCUUCUGGAAUCAAACUUAUGCUACAAAGCUAGAAUACCAUGAAGGAGAAUGUUGUGAUGUAGUGGAGAGCACGAGGAUGUUGGAAUAGAUAGAAAAAUUAUGCCUCAAUAUCUGUAUUAUAGUGUUGAGAGUUGAGACGCCGUUUGUAGCAUCUCCAUGCUACCACUUGGAGUCCCAACUGAAAAUGCACUCUACUUCCACUCAACAGUUGAUUUGUAGGAUUUGUAUGUUAGUGAUUCUGUGAGCUCGGGGGUAAAAUUUGUUGGCAACUAUCCUAUUUGGGGUUGAGAUUUUUAUUUGUUGUGUAAUCCUAGGCAACCAUUUUUUUAAAGAGAGAUUUGUAGUGUAAUUCUGACUUAUGGGUAAAACUUGCAGUUGCAUUAGACUGUUGAGUUAGGGGUGAACUAGUAUAUUUGGAUUGUUGUGUUUCUUUUCUUUUUUGUUUUUACCCUACGAUCUUGAUCUUUUCUGUUUGUUGAGUGCCUGAAUUAUUUAUAUCGCUUCAAAUUGCUUUAGUGUAGUCGAAGUUUAGUUUAUUUGUGCUUUCACUAUAUAUUUUUCUCCCAACAACUGUAGUUGGCAGAAAUGAAUUUGGAACGGAGUGUUUGUGGGUGUUUAGCUCUUACAACACUACGGAACGUUUUUGGAUAGGUAUUGAAGAUGGUGGUGAGGCCAUACCAGAUCCAGGAGGAAGCUGUUCACAGACCAGUACAGACAGAGGUGUCUUUUGGUCCAUAAAUUGCCUAUUUGUUUUGUUCUUUGAAAAAUUAUUCUUGCUGGGUUUAGCUCAUCUAUUAUGUUUUUAUUUCUAGAAACUUUAGCCGAUGUUUCAAGGGUGGCAGUGAGCAAGCUUCUAAGUCGUGCAUCUGGACGUUGCUUGUCAGGAAUAAGGAAACAUGCUCUGCGUCCAUGUGAUUUGGUCAGAAAGGCUUAUCAAGUUGAUUUAGAUCUAUAAAAUAUUUGUGCUUUGAAGUAGUGUCAUCACUUUUAAAUUGUAGUAGAACUUUAGUGGACUUUGCAUGUUCAGUUGUAUUGGUGAUAUAUAAUUAAAUUUGCCUUCAGCCACCAGCUUAAGCUUUUGGAUGAAUUGGUGGUUUAAUAUGGUAUUAGAGUAGGUGGUCCAGGGAGGUCCUUUGUUCAAACCCCUGCAUUGAAUUGGUGGUUUAAUUAGUUGGUUAAAGUAUCGUUUUUGAAAAAUUUUCAUUUGUUUAUUUCAUAGUCAAAAUCUACCAUUGGAAAAGAUGUAAAUCUUGCUAUGGACAAGAAGGUGACAUUGGAGACUGAGAGGUGCAAUGAAAAUGUAAUAGCGAGCUGUUCUGAGGACGUUGAUGUUCCUGAAGUAAAUUUACAGAAUUCUGUAUCAGAAGUUUUAGAAGAUUUGGAUGAUUCCGAUUGGGAAGAUGGUUGUGUUCGACCUUUGGAUGGGACAGAGUCUCAACCAUUGACUAUUGAAAUUAGUGAGAUACAGGAGAUCCCUGACUCUACCAAGAGGAAACCGAUUCGUCGAGCUUCUGCUGCUGAUAAGGUGAAUUUCUCAACUUGAAGUAGUGGGGUUGUCAUCUUACUAAAGAUUCUUUAUGUGCUUAAAUUUUUAGAUGAUUGUCGUCUUUUGCAGGAAAUUGCUGAGUUUGUGCAUAAAGUUCAUUUGCUUUGCUUACUUGGACGGGGUAGAUUAAUUGACCGAGCUUGCAAUGACCCUCUUAUUCAGGUUUUUUGCUGUAGAUAAUAACAAUUAUUAUCUAACUCAGCAACAUGCAUCGCUAUAGACACAAUGAAGAAGUUGCCAGAUAUAUUAUAAUUAUAUCGUAGGGUGUAGAUAAUUUAUGAUGAUCAUUGCAAACGGUGUCAAUGAGUACAAUGCAGCAAUUUGAUUAGGGCUAGCUUCCCCUGGGGUGCAAAAUUUAGUUUAGAGAAAUUCAUAACUUAUUUUUCUAAUUUUUUAGUUUCUGCUGGUGGAAGACAUGCAAGAUCAUAUCAUUUAUUUUGUCCUGAGGACAAUUAGUUUGUUAUUACAGGCUGCUUUGCUUUCUCUUCUUCCAGCACACUUACUGAAGAUCUCACCGGCCAAGCAACUGACAGCCACCUCUCUGAAACCCCUGGUUGCUUGGGUAUGCUUUUAUGCCUCUAUCAUGCGAUUCAUUUCAAUAUCCCCUCCCUAUCUUGACUAAUAUUGAGAAAGACUAAUUUUUUACCAGAAUAGGUUGUUGGGAAUUUAUGCGAGAUUAAAUAAAUGCGGAAUAAACUAAAUUAUAUCUCAAACUCCCACUUCUAGAUAAGCAAUCAAUAAUAAAAUUGUAAAUAAUAAAGCAGAGGGAAAAUUGAGAAUGACCCCAAAAAUUAUAUUGGUUCACCCCAAAUUGGGACUACGUCCUGUCUUCUGCAAUUGCAGAUUCUACUAUGAUGAAGAUUGAAAAGACACCCAAAUCCAUGUUACAGGUCUCUUUGCUCAAAUAGCCGAACAAGAACUAUUUGAGUUCAAGUACCACACUGAGGUAAUUUAAAAUAAACAAUAGGAGAAAUCCUUAACCCAAUUCCUCACUGCCACACUAAAAUAACACUCUGGAAUUUUAUUCCGUUUGGUAUAUUAUUCUUCAUUCUCUCCAGUGACAAAGACUCUUGGCCAACUUCAAUUUUCUUCUUCAAUGGCAAAGGCUCACGGCACAUACAUGUGCUGCAAUUUCCUCAUUCCAACUUUUCUCUUUUUAAAGACAAUGUCACGACUCCAUUUUCUUUUAAUUGUGGAUGGAUUCCGAACCUGAAAAGCAGAAAAAUCCCAACAAGAUUAAACAGAGACAAAACAGAGAUAGUACUCUGUUACAAUAUAUUGUGAUAUAAAUAAAAAUGUAUCACAAAACAUAUAUAAACCCAGAAAACAGAAGGAAAGAACAAGAGAAACAACCAGCUCCUUUGAGAAGGCUGGAAACCUUUUCUAAUGAAGCCUACAACAACUUUCACCCAAAAGAAAACAUAAAAAAGCUAAAACAGCAAUCCAGAAAACAUUCCAUAUAAACACCAAAUCCCAUAGUGGGCCCUCAGGUGUUGCUUCUCUCUCUCUGCUCCCCGAAUUACCAAAAGCCAUGUCAAUUCCCUUUUCUGCCCCUUCUCUUGUAUGUGUGUAAUAUUGGGGGUCUAACAUCACCACUUGGCUCGAAACUCACCUUGUCCUUAAGGUGGAAUGCAGGAACUUGUUGCUCCAUUAAGUGUACUGUUUCCCAUGUACCUUUGCUAUCCGGUAACCCUUUCCACUUGACCAGCUACUGAUUUGCUGCUAUUUCUCUAUUCCAUCUGAUUCCCAUAACGGUUUCCGGCCUCAAUUGCAAUUCAAACGCUUUGAUCAGCAUGGGAGGAAAGUGUGUUGGACCCUUUGUGUUUGACCCAACUUAAGUUUUAGUUGGGAUACAUGAAAGACAUUAUGAAUACAUGCUUCUGGUUGUAAUUCUAAGUGAUACGCCACUUCCCCAAUUCUUUCAAUUACUCGGUAAGGUCCAUAGAAUUUAGGUGAAAGUUUCUCACUUCUUUUUUUGCUAAAGAUCUCUGUCUAUACUGCCUUAAAUUCAAGUAUACUUCAUCCUCUACUUGGAAAAUAAGUUCUCUCUGAUGUAAAUCAGCUUGCUUUUUCAUCCUAUUCUGAGCCACCACCAAGUUUUCUUUCAAUGCAUUGAUUAUCAAAUCUCUCUCCAUCAACAAUUUAUCAGCACUGUUAUUCACUGUUUUCCUCUCUCCAUAUGAGAUGAUCGGUGGUGGAAAUCUCCUAUAGACAGCUUGGAAUGGUGUUGUUUUUGAGGAACUAUGAAAAGUGGUGUUGUACCAAAGUUCUGCCCACAGAAUACACUUGUACCAUUUUCCUAGUUGUUCAAUGCAAAAACACCUCAGAAAAGUUUCCAAAGAUCUAUUAACUCGUUCGGCUUUCCCGUCGGUUUGUGGAUGAAAUGCGGUGCUUCUCUUCAACACAGUCCCCAUUCCCGUGAACAAAGCCUUCCAAAAGUUACUCAAAAUUAUUUUAUCCCUAUUGGUAAUGAGUAAUUCUGGUAUCCUGUGUUUACUCACAACCCUUUUGAUGAAUACCUCUGCCAUUUGUUUAGCUAUAAAAGGAUGCUUGAGAGGGACGAAAUGGCCAAUCUUACUCAACCUAUCCACCACCACCAUGAUAGAGUUAAAACCCCCGGCCUUGGGUAGGCCCUCUACGAAGUCCAUGGUCCAAUCUUCUAAAAUCAAUUCCAGUAUGAGUAGGGGUUGAAGUAAUCCAGCUGGUGAAAGAGAUUCAGUUUUGGUCCUUUGACAAACCUCACAGCUCUCAACAUACUUUUUUACAUCUGAUUUCAUCCCCACCCAAAACCAGAAUGUCCUCUCAAGAUUGAAUCAUGAAAUAUGUGUAAAAGAGAUGGUAUGAGAGAUGACGAACGAGGUAAUACUAACCUUCCUUUAUAUCUCAGCUGGUCAUUCUUCCACUCAUACCUUGGGUUUCCCUCCGAAUCCAACUUCAGUACAACUAUGAUUUUCUGUAGUUCCUCGUCCUCGUCAACUUCUUUCAUUAUUGUUUCCACAUCCACGAUUUCUGGAGCCGUCAUUACAUGGUGUUCAAUCGAAUGGGGAAUUCGAUAUAAUGCAUCGACUGCUUUGUUUUGAAGUCCGGGUUGGUACAAUAUCUAGAAGUCGUAACCCAACAAUUUCGUUAACCAUUUCUAGUAUGAGGGUUGCACUUUCUGUUGUUCUAUUAGGAAUUUGGGUGCCUUCUGAUAAGAGAUUAUUGUAAAUUUCCUUCCCAAUAGACAGUGCCUCCACUUCUGCACUGAUAAAACCACUACCAUGAGUUCCUGUUGAAAUGUUAAGAGUCACACAUUGAAAAAACCAAGGAGACUCACAUUUCUUAUAAGAUAGAUGAGCUACUCCUCUCAUUGCCAAUUGGUUUUGAGAUGGAACUCCAUACUAUCAUCCCUUUCCUGAUAGAUUUAGUCUGUGCGCGGUGCGGAAGUUUCUAACUAAAGAAGGCCACUGGGCUUGAAUUCUGUGAUAAUACUUCUCCAAACCCAAAACCAAAUGUGUCAGUUUUGAUAGCAAAAGGGAGUGUAAAGUUAGGGAGAGCCAAUACUAGUACUAGAAUUAUUGCUCUUAUGAAAAUGAUCCAUUCAAUUUUUUGUUUGUUCAAGACUCCCGCCUCAUAAGAAGUAUGAAAUACAAAUAAGUAAAGUAGGAAAGGGAAAGAAAAAGUAUAGCUAGCUUGAUUACCUUUUGAUACCAUAUGUAGUUUGUUCAUUAGAUAUGAGAAAUCAACCUAAUAACAAUCAAGAUUUUUCUUUUAAAAGAAUUAUUCUUCUAAACGUAUUUUGGGUUUAUUGACUCUGUUUUCAGCUAAUAUACUUGCUUACACUGCAGUUGCAUGACAAUUUCCAUGUUAGAAACCAAGCGAGGUCGGAGGGUUCUAUUAAUUCAGCUCUAGCUCAUGCUCUUGAAACGCAUGAAGGGACUUCAGAGGAGGUAGAUUCAGUUAUCAAUGUCUGUGUAAUGUUAAUUUGAAAAAUAAGUUUUUUUUAAAAGAAUAUGAUGACAUUGCACCAAAUGAAAAAAAACUAUAAAAGCCCAAAUGAGAAACCAUUACAAUUUACAACGAAACCAAAAACUAAUGUUAGAUGGGUCCAAUUUUUUUUUCUUGUGACCUCUAUGAAGCACAUAUAUGUCAUGUGAGGUCGAGAAUCAAUAUCAUUGCGUAUUAGAUACUAAUAUUCCUCGAUACUUCUUAGAUAAGUAUCUGAUGAUCUUUUUUCUUUAUCAUUUGAUACGUGUGUCCUUUACACACUUCUAGAACUAAGGAACCUAUUUACCCUAACCCAAAACUAAAAGAAAACAAAAAUAGAAACCAUGCCCUAGAAUCAUGUAAUGUUCAUAUUCAUGCCUUAGGCAGGCAAAAAAUUAACCUACUUGAUUUUCUUCAACAAUUCAACAAAGAAAUUCCUCUUUUAUCUUCGUACUUCUCUCUUCAAUCUUCUUCUCCGAUUGAUCUGACUCCAGGGCGCCGCUAACCAUCUCUUUUAUAGUUUACUGACUAUUGUAUUUCAAUGUAUCUGAUGUUGCCUUUUGUGUUGUAUUUUUUUAUUGCAAGUUAAUCUUUUUUUUUCUUUCAAGUUGAUUGCAUUAGUAUCUUUAUAUUAUAUUUAUAUAUUUCAUGAUUUCAAAAAAAAUGUAUCCCUCAUAUUCGUAAUUUGGUUUUUUUUAGAAAUUGAUGUAUCGUCAUAUAUGUAUCUUAUAUUAGUAUCCUCGUUAGUAUGCUUUCUUUCUUGUUCUAAUACUCCUUUCUUGUUUUAGGAAUUGACGUAUUGUUGUGUAUGUACCUUAUAUUAGUAUCCUUGUUAGUAUGCUUUCUUUCUUGUUCUAAUACUCCUUCCUUCCUCCUAACUUAUGGCUACUAACCUAUUAUUGCACUUGCUCUUCCCAAUCUUGCCCAUCUCCUGUGAUGGAGUGGAACUACUACAUAUGGUCCAUCUACUUUGACUGUAAAGUUUUCUCUAUAGCUAUUGACAAAUACUGCAGAGGUAGCCAGAGUUGGGAACAAAGCUAUAACUUCUCUCACUCUAAUGCCGACGCACUUCAAUUACUUUUUCUUUAUUGUUGGUGCAAUAUUUAAUAAUUACCAUUCUAUUACUGUGAUAAGUAUUUCAACAAGUGUUUUUCCCCCUUCAGAUUGCUGCAUUGACCGUAGUGCUUUUUAGAGCUUUGGAUAUAACAGCUCGGUAGGCUUUCAAUUUCAAAAUAAUUGUUUACUAAUUAUUCUUGUCUUAUGAAUGUUUUUUUGGCUCAUACCUCCAAAAAUGCUAUGGGCCUGCUUAUAUUAAUUAAUUAUUUGUUGUCCUUAACAAAAUACAAGCAUUUAAAUAUCACCUCUUUUGACACAUCAUUCCUACAUAUUUUGCUUGUGGCAAUCUGAAUAUUCUUUCUUUUGUGUUGUUUGUAUCUCUUGCUAUGCUAGGAUUGGAGCUUAUAUAUCCUCAUGCACAUUCGUGUGAACUUUUUUGUUUGUUUAUAACAAGAGUUCAUUUCAAUGAGAAAAAAACAUAAAAUAUGCAAAAAGGUGGACAUAAAACAUCAAAUUGUGCUAAAGAAGUUACAGAAAGGUCUUCCAAUACCACAAAGAUAAGAAUAAUGAUGGCUAAAAUUAGGCUUGGUCAACCUACACCAGGACAAAAACUCAAACAAUAUGAGAAUGUACUUUCUUCUUUUUUUAUUUUUAAUAUCCGUGAGUGUCAUGGCCAGCUUACGUGCACCUCAACUAAUUUCAUGGGACAACCCGUCUGACCCUACAACAUUUAGGUGUCAAGGUAACUUGUAGGAAAUUAAUUCAUAGGUAGGUGGCCACUAUGGAUUGAACCCGUGACCUUUUAAUUAGUUAUUGGGACUAUGUCUUCUUUUUACCACUAGGCCAACCCACGAUAAUGUACUUUUUUCUCUUGAACGGUUAUAUUUUUCCAUUCCGAUAAUCUUUUUUUAAAAGAAGGCUUUAAUGAAAUUCAUCAGAAGCUUGGUUUCAAAUUCAGGUGGGUUGUUGUUCAAGCAAAAUGGAGAAGGCUAAUACUGAUGUUGCAGAUAGUGUUGUGCAAGUUGAUUGCAUUACCAAAUGCUUUACUUGCUUUGGAUGAAAUAGUCAUCAGCUGAUGAUGUUGAGUUUUCUUAGGCAAAUAUUUUUCAUUUUUUUACUGAUUAAAUAGCACCAUGGCUUUAGAAUCGUGUACUUUUCCUUGACUGUUCUCUAGUUUGACAUCUUUCUGCAAUCUAAUUUUAGGUUAGAUGUGUUGAUUUUAUGGAAUUAAUCUAUAUUUCAUUCAUUAUUUAAUAGAGAUACAAGCCUAUAUAUAACCAUAGAGAAAUACACUUAAGGAAAUAAUAUCAAAUAAUAUUUCCAGAAUAAUAUCUCCUAAGAAUAAUCUAAUUAUAUUAAUACCCUCCCUCAAACUCAAGGUUGAAAUCACAAACUUGAGUUUGCUAAGAACUAAGAAAAGAAACAAUAUAUCUAGAAUAGAAUAAAAAACCCGAAGAACAAACUGACAAAGAACUUCUAGGUUAAAACAAACCCACGAAAAACUUCUGGGAUAGAAACAUAGAUCCUCGUAUAGAGAUCUAUAACAGAACCUAGGAAGAACGAAACAAGAACUUCGGGGGGCAAAAUGAAAGAGCAAAACUGAAGCAAAGUAGAAUCAAAGCUGGACGAAAACAGGGUCGGAAUUGGACAGAAGUGUUUUGUCGGAUCAAAAUGGAACCGAACGAACUAAACUAGAGCAAGUCAGAAUCAGAUUAAACGGGAAAUCUGGGGCGAACAGAACGGAAACUGAACUGAAUGGAGCAGAGAGGCUUAGCGGAUCUGAACAAAAACAGAAACGAGGCGUCGUUGGAUCUGGGCUUCGAUCUAAACUUUGAAGGCAGACAUGAAGGAUGGGUCUGAACGAAAUUAGACAGAUCUGGAACAGAUUGGAGGCAGACGCGAGGAUCUGAGGACAUGGGGUUUCAUGGUUUUGUUGGGACAGCGUAAGGAGAUGGAGCAACGGCAACGAAACGCAGCGGCGAGCGGAGCUUCUUGGACGACGGAAAAAACUGAAACUCUUCGGCUGGGCGUUCGGCUUCAACUGACAGAGGUUCAAUCGGUUGCUUGGCUAACGGAAAAACAAGAGGUCGGACGAAGAACUAUGAAGGAGAUGGCCGCCGCAGACGCUAGUGAAAAACGAAUGGGGUUUCUGGGGUUUGGAUGGUGGCAGAUUUGAACAGCAAUGAGUGACAAAGGGAAGGUGCAACGACAACGGCAAAUUUGCAGAUCUAAGGGGCGGCUUCAGCUAAUGGGAGAUGAUUCCACCUCCGUUGAUGAAUGAUCAACGGAGGUAGAGAUCAAACGGGAUGUGGAGGCUAGAACUCAAUAAGGCGAAAACCCUAGAGCUCUGAUACCAUGUUGAUUUUAUGGAAUUAAUCUAUAUUUCAUUCAUUAUUUAAUAGAGAUACAAGCCUAUAUAUAACCAUAGAGAAAUACACUUAAGGAAAUAAUAUCAAAUAAUAUUUCCAGAAUAAUAUCUCCUAAGAAUAAUCUAAUUAUAUUAAUAAGAUGAUGGUUUGUUGUUCUCUACCUUCAUUCUAAACUUUUUCCAUGAGUAAAAUUUUGUUUCCAUUAGGGAAAAAAAAAGAAAAAAAAAAGGAAUAUGUAAGGAUUCUACUUGAUUACUUCACUGUUUCUCCCUUACAAUGGCAAAAACAGAGGCAGCACUCUGUUAUCUUUAUUUAUAUAUAGCCAAAAUGAGUACAGAAAUCAUAAAGAUUCAAAGAAACAAAGAACAAUAAAGACAAACCCAGCUUCCUCUUGGGAAAACUGGAUAUUCUCCUAGGCUAAGCAGCCGCCAACUUAAGGAUAAAAUAAAACCUACCUCCCCUGGACCUAAAAGACCUAUUUAUAUUCCUCCUCUCAUCUUUCUCUUAUUUCUGUGCCUAGGCCCCAUACGCACGAUCUCCUCCCCUUUUUCCUUCAUUAUUAAUCAUUUGUCCAUUUACUUUUCUGCCCCUCCUUUGAUAUGUGUGAAUGAUUGGAGGUCUUACAGAAUACUGAUUUAUUUUCUGUUACUUUUAGAUUCCAUUCCAUAUAUUUUUUUAAAAAUGAACUGCUAGUUUGUUUUAUUAUUAUUAUUUUUUAUAACUAUGCUGCAUUUUAAAGAGCUAAUUAAUCAAUAAGAUCCCAUAUUUUUAAUUUCCAGGUUUGUAUCUAUUUUGGACGUUGCUCCUAUAAAACCAGAGGCCGAAAGAUCUAAAUGUUUUAGCCAAGACAUAGGCAGAUCAAGUAGAAACAUUUUCAAGAACUCAACUUUGAUGGUAGAUAAAGCAGAAGCAGUUGAUAAAGAUUCUCUUACAUCACGUUGUCUUGACAAGAAGGAUAAUCCCCGGAAAAGAACUUCUGGUGAUAAUCGUGAAAGCAAUGCAGUCAAUUUAGUAGGCAAGAAAACUCACGUCCUUAAUGCUUUGUCUAGCACCGGAAGUUCUAGUUGUAACUCAAAACCUGAUAUCUCUGAAACCUUCCCCCCCAAGAACUCUCAGGUACAGAAGAGGAAGGGGGAUAUUGAGUUUGAAAUGCAGUUACAAAUGGCUCUCUCCGCUACAGCAGUUGAGACUAUGCCCAGUAAUUCUAGCAUAAAUCACUUAAACGAGCCUCCUUUGAACUUUCCUCCGUCUAAAAAACUGAAAAGAAUUGUUAAUGAAGAAUCUGCCUCUUCUCAUGGAAUCUCCACUGCUGUUGGUUCAAGCAAGGAGGGAUCUCCCUUGUAUUGGGCAGAAGUAUACUGCAAUGCAGAGAACUUGACAGGUAAGUGGGUACACAUUGAUGCUGUAAAUAUGGUUGUUGAUGGAGAGCACAAAGUGGAGGACUUAGCUGCUGCAUGCAAAACAUCUUUGAGAUAUGUGGUUGCUUUUUCUGGGCUUGGUGCGAAAGAUGUGACUCGCAGGUCUUCUUUCCUUACUCCCUUUUUUCAAGCUGAUAAUUGAGCUGGGCAAAUGUUCUUUUUAUUCUCUGUUAUCUUUUGAAAUUUAUUCAUGUUUUCUUGAUCUUACCAAUUUACAUACCAAGAGGUGAGGCAUUCGUUGAAGGGGGAAGGAGGAAUUGAAUUUGUUUGUUUAGCAUGCUAGACGAUGGAACAUUGCAUUGCAUUCUUGGAUUUGUAUGAUUAACUGUAACAAUCCCGAAAGAGAGAUGAUUAUUUAAAAUUACCUGCAGUUUUUCAACGAUGUUAUCAUGCUUGGUAGUCUGGAUGCCAUUAUGCUUUGUCAUUAGAAGUUUAGAAUGUGGGGUGGAUAAUGGAAGUAUUUUUUAGUGAGAGAUCUGGAUCCUUCAACAAUACGUGCACGUAAGCUCUUCUAUUCGCUAUACAUGUACUUAGGCUGCAACUACUUUCUUCAAAUGGCGAAAACAGGAUAACAAUGGUAACUUCAUUGUGCAUUCAUUUUUGUAAUGCAAUGCCAAGUUUUUGUAACUAACCAAAUACUAUAAUACAUGCUUAUUUAUAUCUUCCUCCUAAUAAAAAUUUUAUUUUCUAUUUGAUCAGAAAACUUCUGUAUUAAUUUGUAAUUUACAUAGAGGAGGAUAUUUAGUUUUAGUGGCCAUGACCAUUAUAAAGAGGAGUUUUCCCAUGGCAGCAAAAUAAGCAAUUUAUAUUUAGGGAUUGUUAUUGUCCAUAUCGUUUCUUAUAAAAGGUCCAUGGAAUUCCAUGGACACUUUUUGUAUUUGUUGUUUGGGUAUAAAUGGGCAUGUCAGUGACUAUUAUGCUGUCAUUUAUCAGUACAUCUCAUGUCUCCCCAUUUUUUUCUUUCCCUUGUGAGGAGUGGCGAGGAUUUUUCCAAUGUUAUGACAUGAAAAUUUGGUUUUUGGACGUACGUUACUCCAGCUUUUGAGCCUAAUUAUUUUGACUUUAAGGAUUUUAUUGUCAUCUUAUUUGCAGAUAUUGUAUGAAGUGGUACAAGAUUGAAGCAAAACGAGUUAAUACUCUUUGGUGGGAUAAUGUAUUGGCCCCAUUAAGGAUACUUGAAGGACAGGCAGUGAGGGGCACUGGUCACUUGGAAAAGUGCUGCAUUGAUGACUUGAUGGAACAAGAUAAAUUGAAAAUGUCAGACUUGUCAGAUAACUUGAAGCAGAAAAAUCUUCUAGAUGAUGGUAACCAGUCAGGGAAGUCUGAUCACAAUGUGUCAGAAGGGCUUGUCACUGACCGAGACUUUUCUUUGGGUAAUCAAGUUGCUACCAGAGACCAUCUCGAGGAUAUAGAAUUAGAAACUCGGGCACUCACUGAACCUCUUCCAACUAAUCAGCAGGUGGAUGAUUUAUCUCAAACUAUGCCUGAUAUUUAGAUUAUUAAGCUUUAAUUUGAAAAAUGCUGUUUGAAUUGCAGGCUUACAAAAACCAUCGUUUAUAUGCCCUUGAAAAAUGGCUAACCAAGUAUCAGAUACUUCAUCCAAAGGGUCCUGUUCUGGGUUUUUGUUCUGGAUAUCCAGUUUACCCUAGAACCUGUGUCCAAGUGCUUAAGACAAAGCACAAGUGGUUGCGUGAGGGACUGCAAGUCAGAUCUAAUGAACUACCUGUUAAGGUUUGAUUAAUCUUCACUUCAUUAUCAGAUGGUCAUUUUCUUAUUCUUAUCUUUAUAUUUUAAUUGCAUGUUUCAGGAGUUGAAACGUUCCAUAAAGAAAAUCAAAAUACUAGAAUCUGAAGCUGAUGACUUUGAUCAGGGUGAUUCCCAAGGAACCAUUCCACUCUAUGGGAAGUGGCAGUUAGAACCAUUGCAACUGCCUCGUGCAGUUGAUGGGAUUGUACCAAAAGUGAGCUCUUUUAUAUUUUAUUUUAUUUUUAUUUUUAUUUUAAGCCUUUUGGAUAAACUGAUCGCUUGUAGUGCUCAAGACAUUGGACGCAACCUUCUGCCUUCUGAGAGAUUUCAUAACAUUUGUUUCUAUAAGAAAUUGUUGAUAUUAAUCAUGGGACCAAAAAAAGUGACCAUGCAUUUUAUUUUGUCUCCUGCGUCUUCUAAUUAUGAUGUUUACCCAUGAGAAUUGAUGUGGACUAAUCUUCAACAAUAAUGAAUUGUACUAUCAAGGUUUCUUUCUUGUUGAUAAGAAGUAAACUUGGAGUACAGGCCAGGAAGUACUCUAGCUUCAUAAAGAAUUACACAUUUCUCUCAAUCCCUUUGGUUAGUAAUAUUUUAUGCUACAUGGGUUAUCUUGUAUAGCUUUAAAGGGGCAGAGAGCUAUCUUUUGUUAUGGACAUUUCUUAGCAAUUUACCCUCGCUAAAUUUCUGUGAAUAUGUUCUAUUGAUGCGUUUCACUCUGAUAUGUAUAGAACCUCGAGACACUUAUUGAACCUUAAAUUCCCCAUUUUUGCUUGUUCACAACUCCUUAUGUUGUUACUCGUUCAGCAGACGCUAAUUAUUGCAUUCUACCUUAUAGAAUGAACGUGGUCAAGUGGAUGUGUGGUCUGAAAAGUGCCUUCCCCCAGGAACUGUGCACAUCAGGUUGCCCAGGGUGUUCAGUGUUGCCAAGAAGCUGGAAAUUGAUUAUGCACCUGCCAUGGUUGGCUUUGAAUUUCGAAAUGGCCGAUCAUAUCCUAUUUAUGAUGGGAUUGUUGUUUGUUCCGAGUUUAAAGAUGUAAUAUUAGAGGUUGGUAUUUCCCAAUGUAGUUCCCAAGAUAAUAAGGAUGGUAAAUUUUUAACGAUAUGCAAUAAAUUAUUUCUAGGUUAAAUUUUUAACGAUAUGCAAUAAAUUAUUUCUAGGUUCAUUUACUUUCAACAUUUUAGUGACUUACCUUGGACAAAUUUGUAUUUUUCUUACACUUCUAAGUUUCUAACUAUACUCCUUCCAUGUUCUAAUUUCCAACCAUCAUAUCUAGAGACAGACCAAUCUCCAUCUAUUAUAGCUCAAGUUUUAUGAUCAUUUCUUCUUGUAUGUUUCUCAACUCAAACCACCCUGUUUCAUAUACAGACAUACAAUGAGGAAGCAGAGAGAAUGGAGGCUGAAGAGAGAAGACUGAGAGAAAAACAAGCUAUUUCAAGAUGGUAUCAGCUUCUUUCUUCGAUCAUAACUCGGCAAAGGUUGAACAGCCGUUAUGGGGAUAGUGAGAAUCUAUCGCAAGUGACGAGUGACAUCCGGAACAUGCAUGAUGAGCGUAAUGCAGAUGUUCCUUCUUGUCAAGAGGAUGUAGAACCUUUCAAGGGCCAGCCGGAUAACUUAAGUAAUACUAAUAUGGAUGCUCCAUCUUUUAUCAAUCAGGAUCACAAGCAUGUAUUCCUGUUAGAGGAUCAAAUUUUUGACGAGAAAAGUUUGGUUGUGACAAAACGCUGUCAUUGUGGUUUUUCUGUUCAAGUCGAAGAAUUGUAGCAAUGUUAGUGUUUGUUGAAACUUUUUCCAUUGUCUAUUAGUGGUGUUGAUAUGUGUUAAAUUUUGUAGUGUAUUCUUCUCAGAAUAACAACCGAAAAUCAAAACAAAUUAGCAUAUAUUUGCAGUAGAAUCACAUCAUUCUCAAACGUGCCAUUAUCUGUUACCUAUGUUGGCGUUGUUUAUUGAAAUUUGUGUUUGAGUCUGCUUUUAAAACAAGUAAAUUAAAACAAUUUUAGUAUUAAAAAUUAUCAUUUUAGCCAACAUGCUUUUAGUAUAUUACUUAAAUUACAAGAUUUAAGGACAAAAUUUUGUUAUUUGGUUGUACACUUUCUAAAGCACUCUAGGCUAUUUAUUUAUUGUGGUGAAGUAUGGUCAGAGAUGUUUAAGAAAAGUUACUGAAGCUUGAGCUACAGUUAUUUAUAUAUUGUUUUAGUAUUUUUAUAAUGUUAAUUUUGGUCUAUAUAUUUUAAGAGUGUUGAAAGACGAGGGAGUAACCCAUUUUCUUCUUUCAUUGAAAUGAACAUUAAUAAAGGAUCUAAAUGAACAUCUGAAACUAUAUGGACAAGAAUGAACUAAAGCUAUAAGUCUAGUACAGAAUGUAUAUAAAUCUUAUAAAUUCCAUUCAAUUGUUAUUCUGGUGAUUUCAAAUACGAAAAUGAAGUAGCUCUACUCAUUGUGUGGUUAGUAAUUGUCCUACUAGAGCAUUAAAAUACUUUUAUGAGACAUUAAUUUUCAAGUUACUAAUAUGACCAUCGAUAAUUGAAAUAUAUAACGGUCAAAUUUAUUUGAUCAGUUUUUCCUUUUUCUUUUUUUCUCUGAUCUCCGACUAUGACAAAGGAUGAAAAUAAAAUCCACAAAGAAAGAAAAAAAUGAAGCUAAAAUCAUGGUAGAGAAAAGAAAAGGUGUAAUAUUUUUUGGGCUCUAAGGGCAUUUGGGACCUCCUUGCUGAGUUUUCCAGUUAUUGUAGCAUGGACAUUCUUGCUUGUUUCCAUAUGUCCCUGAAGGCACACACAGACAUUUUGCACAACAUUUUUGGCAGAAGAACAUGCAUGGCUUCCUGUGCGUUGUCGCCGAGCAUCGAUAACUGCAUUUCGGCUUGCAAUCUGUUCUCCCAAAGUACUUAAAAGAGUGAGUUUGACACCACACAUCAUUCAAACGGUUUCACAUUACUUAUAUAUGUUGGUAAAUUUGAGUCCUUGUGAAGACUAAUAAUUUCAAAAGAAUAUAUCCAUGAAUAAUAUAUCUAUUCAAAAGAAUAUGCUUCACUUUAAAGUAUUACUUCCAAAAGACAUGCAAAGUGGUUCAUUCUUGUUCGAGAAAAAAAAAAAAAAACUAAUUCAACAAUAGUAUUAUCAUAUAUAAACAUUAUUCAAGGUUAUUCCUUUUGAUCAACAAAAGCAAAGGAAAAAAGAAAAGAAUUAUGAUAAGUACCUGAAGGGCGUAAGUUUAAAGCACCCUGUUGAAAUUAAAAAAAAAAAAAAAAAAUUAUUAUUAUAUAUAUAUCUAGAAUUACUUAAUAGAAAAAAAUAACUUAAGGCCUACAAUUUUAUGCAUUCAAAAUACAUUUGAAAAGGAAAAAAUAGUAAAAGAAAUAAAAUGAUAAGAACAUAUAUAUACCUCAGCCAAAUGCAGAUUAGAGAUAGUGAGAAGAAAGAGGAUGGAGAAGAGAAAGAAGGAAUAGGUGAAAGAGGAUGCCAUUUUGUGGGUUAUAAUUAUAAUAUUGUAAAAGUUUGAAAUAGAUUUGAGUGUCAUGAGAGUGAUUACUUAUAGAAGUUUUGUGAUUAAAUUACAUUCAUAUUUGUAACGACGUUAAAGACGAUGAGUUUGGAGUCGCUUCAAUUUAGGAUUCAAAAGUGAGAGCGGUGAAAGCGGCGUGUUUGAUGUCCGUUUCUUUUAAUUUUCUAUAUGCCUUUUUCUCUUAACUCAUUGCAUUACUGUUGGAAACGUACCGGCCUUCCUUAUAAAUAACUCUCAAAUAACAUACUACCAAUAAUGGCUAGAGCUGUUACUAAACCCAACCAAUAACCAAAUUAAACUAAUCCCUUUCAUACACACUACCAUUGCUUCACACGUUUUCUCUAAAUUCAGAAACCAAGAAGGUUCAAUUCAAUACAAAAAAAAAAUCAAACCGAACCAUUGGAUCGUUUGAAUUGGUUUGAUUUGCUACCUAAUGUUAAAAACUCCACGUAAAAAGUUCAUUUUGAGAUGAAAUCUCAUGCUUUCUAAUUUCAGUUGUGUGAUAUUUUGAACUCCACUUUGAAAAUUGUAUGUUAAAAUAAUUACAUAAUGGAAAUUUUUACUUGGUUAAUUUGUAAUAAAGUUUUUCCAAAAGAGUUAUGAAUUUUCAGUUAUGAUUUUUCAAAGUGAAGUUAAGUUUAUGGGUGAAUAAUCAGUUUCUGGGUAAGAUAGAGGUUGGUUGAGUGACAAGCUUUGCUAGGUGAGAUGUGUGUGUGUUGAUGAAGAAAGAGGUUAGUGAUGUGUUAGGCUUAUGUUGAGCGUGCGACACUACCUGAAUGCAAGGUAGACAACGUGCAAGGCGCACGUAGCCAAGGAGGCACACGACAAACUUUGCACAAGGGGGCAUGUGAGAUGCUCGACAUGCAGCCAGGUGAGGCUCGCGAAGUGCCUGUGCGUGAGGUUAGCAUGCCGCAAGGCUGGGCAAGCUCUACUCGCGUAACCAAGCGCUUGUCGCCCAUGUAUGGGCUCCAAUUUGUGUCAAUGAAUGUUUUGGUCAAUUUUGGUGUUUUGUUUGGAAUUCCUAAGUUAAUUUUUUGUAUUUU
rnacentral:lncRNA from 1 species